rnacentral:rRNA from 1 species
GACGUAGGGUGCAAGCGUUGUCCGGAAUUACUGGGCGUAAAGAGCUCGUAGGUGGUUUGUCGCGUUGUUCGUGAAAACCUGAGGCUUAACCUUGGGCGUGCGGGCGAUACGGGCAGACUGGAGUACUGCAGGGGAGACUGGAAUUCCUGGUGUAGCGGUGGAAUGCGCAGAUAUCAGGAGGAACACCGGUGGCGAAGGCGGGUCUCUGGGCAGUUCCUGACGCUGAGGCACGAAGGUCAGGGGAGCAAACGGG